CGACCGGCGCACGGUGAGUAACACGUAUCCAACCUGCCGUCUACUCUUGGCCAGCCUUCUGAAAGGAAGAUUAAUCCAGGAUGGGAUCAUGAGUUCACAUGUCCGCAUGAUUAAAGGUAUUUUCCGGUAGACGAUGGGGAUGCGUUCCGUUAGAUAGUAGGCGGGGUAACGGCCCACCUAGUCAACGAUGGAUAGGGGUUCUGAGAGGAAGGUCCCCCACAUUGGAACUGAGACACGGUCCAA
rnacentral:rRNA from 1 species